rnacentral:rRNA from 1 species
UGGGGAAUAUUGGCCAAUGGGCGCAAGCCUGAUCCAGCCAUGCCGCGUGAGUGAUGAAGGCCCUAGGGUUGUAAAGCUCUUUCUCCGGUGAAGAUAAUGACGGUAACCGGAGAAGAAGCCCCGGCUAACUUCGUGCCAGCAGCCGCGGUAAUACGAAGGGGGCUAGCGUUGUUUGGUUUUACUGGGGGUAAAGCGCACGUAGGCGGACUAUUAAGUCAGGGGUGAAAUCCCGGGGCUCAACCCCGGAACUGCCUUUGAUAAUGGUGGUCUUGAGUUGGAGGGGGGAGAGGGGAAUUCCGGGUGUAGGGGUGAAAUUCGUAGAUAUUGGGAGGAACACCGGUGGCGAAGGCGGCUCACUGGCUCGAUACUGACGCUGGGGUGCGAAAGCGUGGGGAGCAAACAGG